rnacentral:lncRNA from 1 species
UAAAUCAUGUUCUGAACGAGCCAAGCAAAAGUAUUUAGCUUUGUAAUCCUAAACAGUAUGAUUUCCCAGAGUGAAUUUUCCUAAUUGAGUUGAUAAUUUUUGUUCAUACCAUACAGGUCCCUGCUUCCCAGCUGGGAUGUUUGAAUGCUGCUCAGGGAAAAAACUGAAAUACUUUGAAAGAUGGAUAAAGGAGUAGUCCAUGAACUUGAUGCAACAAGAGUAAUUUAUAAGGCUGAGAAAAGAAGUAAUAAAACUCCUUCAGCGAUUCUGUAGAACCUAUUGCAUGGAGUGCAGACCCUCUGAACUUCCUCAGGAUGAGUAGACUGGCACUGUGACC